rnacentral:tRNA from 1 species
GCGCCCGUAUAUCAGUGGAUAGAUGGCUUCCCUCCGAAGGAAGAGGUCGUGAGUUCAAAUCUCACCGGGCGUA